rnacentral:rRNA from 1 species
AAUGAACGUUGGCGGCGUGGAUUAGGCAUGCAAGUCGUACGGGGCCGCAAGGUACCCGUGGCGCAAGGGUGAGUAAGGCGACGGUAACCUACCCCAGGGCUGGCCAUAGCCGCGGGAAAUCGCGGGUAAUAGCCAGCGACGUGUCUGGAAGGCAUCUUCCGGCCACCAAAGGUGUGAUUCCGCCCUGGGACGGGCCGUCGUGGUAUUAGGUAGUUGGCGGGGUAACGGCCCACCAAGCCUCUGAUGCCUACCGGGCGUGCGAGCGUGGCCCGGCACACUGGGACUGAGACACUGCCCAGACUCCUACGGGAGGCUGCAGUCGAGAAUCUUCGGCAAUGGGCGCAAGCCUGACCGAGCGACGCCGCGUGGAGGACGAAGGCCUUCGGGUUGUAAACUCCUGUCGAGGGGAAGGAAGGGACGGCGCAGAGCCGUUCUUGACCGCUCCCUGGAGGAAGCACGGGCUAAGUUCGUGCCAGCCGCCGCGGUAAAAC